AUGUCGUAUUCGAGGUACAGGAGUCGUUCAAGGAGUGUGGACUCGAGUGAUGUUGAGAACCCUGGGAACAAUCUCUUCGUGACUGGUUUAUCAUCUCGUCUAACUGAUCGAGAUCUGGAGAAGCAUUUCUCUACAGAGGGAGAGGUGAUUGAUGCAAGUAUAGUACUUGAUCCAUGGACAAGGGAAUCACGGGGAUUUUGGUUUGUUACCAUGGCUACUCUUAAGGAGGCAGAACACUGCAUCAAAUAUCUCGACCGUUCAGUGCUGGAAGGUCGUGUCAUUACUGUUGAGAAGGCAAAGAGAAGACGAGGCCGAACCCCAACACCAGGAAGGUAUCUGGGCACCAAAUCAUCGCGUGGAAGGAGGUAUUCCCGAAGCAGGUCACCUGUUAGGAGAGACCGUUACAGCUCACGCUACUCGCCUGAGCGAGAACGCUCUUAUUCUCCUUAUCGCAGAGGACGAUCAUACUCUCGUCGUGACAGGCGUAGAUCAUACUCCCCUGAUGAAAGGAGGCGAUACUACUCUCCCUAUGGCAGAAGGAGAUCAUACUCUCCUUCUGACAGGUCGGAGUCUCCCUACGACAGGCGUAGGUCCUACUCACCCUAUGACAGGUCCUACUCACCCCGCCAUGGUCAUCGCCACCGUUCAAGAUCUCCAUACCGUUACAGAAGGCAGAGGUCGCACUCCCACGACCGUUCUGUUUCAGCAUACUACAGCAGGCGCUAUUCUCCAAGGAGCAGAAGACGGAGCUACUCUCGCAGCAUAUCGCCACGCAGGAGCUACUCCCGCAGCUGCUCCCCGGUUUCAGAAGAAUCAAGGAGCUGUUCUCCACGGAAAGGAUGCGCCGGAAGCAAGCCAUCACGCAGCAGGUCACCUGGCAAGAGGCGUUCUAGAGAAAGCUAUGCUCACAGCCGCAGUUCAUGCUCCAGGUCCGUCUCUCGGGAGCGCUCAACCUCAGCAAGCACAUGA
rnacentral:rRNA from 1 species